rnacentral:lncRNA from 1 species
CAAACCAAACACCGUAUUAAUUUUAUACAUGAAUAAUUUACCAAACGUGGUAUUACUUAUGCUGAAUGUAAUACCUGCAUAACUUAUCUCCAAACCAACUAUCAAGCAACCUCUAAGGGAUCACAAUCUUGGGAUUACUAAUCCCGGGAUAAAAUAACAAAUUGACACAUUUGCCCUUCUCAAAAGUUUUUCUCCAAAAGUCUCUUUAAGAAAACCAAUGUUAAAAUUGAAAAUCAAAAUUUAUUUAAGUUUAUCUAGUUUAUACCAACUACAUGAUUUCUAUGCAACAACAAUAACAUAUCCAGUGUAUUUUCACAAAGUGGGGUCUGAAGAGGAUAAGUGUACGCAGUUCAUACCAUUACCUCGAAUGAGGUAGAGAGGCUAUUUCGGGGAGGAUAAGUGUACGCAGUCCAUACCACUACCUCGGAUGAGGUAGAGAGGCUAUUUCGGAUAGACCCCCGGCUCAGGACACAAAACAGUAAAAGGACAUUGUAAAAAUAAAAACAAAGAUGGAAUAACACACCAAUAGAGAAUAACAUAAACAAGAACACCCACGGAGUAGUUACAAGGAACUAUGAACAGGAAACUGCCAUACGCACGCAUAGCACUAUGACCACUGGACUGGCUACAAACAAAACACUCCUACUUACUAUCAAGGACACACUCCUACCUACUAACCCUCUAUCCUAAUACGCGUCCUCCGCACCUUCCUAUCUAGGAUCAUGACCUCCAUAAGCUGUAACUGUCCAUGUCACGUCUAAUCCCCACCUUCCAAUAUUUCUUCGGCCUACCUCUACCCAACACAUGAUUUAUAUGAUAUCUCAUUUUUUCUCAAAUAGACCAAACAUUUACUAAUAAAAGUAUAUCCGCUAAAUAAUCCCGUUAUUAUUUAAUCCCCGUAUUAUAAUCCGGUACAUCUUUUAUUGCAAGACAAAUGACUCCUUAGUGUCUUAGAUGGUAUCUACUUGAUAUACAGAUUGAUAAAUAUUAUCUUCAUAGAAACAAUACUCUUGCAUCAUUCUCUGUUCUCGUAGAAGAUCAACUGAUUCACUUAGCUGGCUAUUUGCAACAUUUGUCAUUUAAAGUAGAACUUUGUGACACUUGAGAUCUCUGUGUUUGUACAACCAACUCUUGUUUUUCUUUUAAUUGUUUAAGCGAUUCAGCAGUGAACAGUCCGUUGCUGUAAUAUCCUGCUAGUGUUUUUGUUAGUUUCACGAAUUGUGCAUCAGGCGAUUCCUGAGAGGUUUCCUCCCCCACACCCCCCC